GGGGUCCUUGGAGAGAAAGGAAGUUCUUCCUUCAUAUGAGGCAUGUGAUGUUUGGAACUUUGAACAAUCUAUCUAUCUUUUAAGAACUUGCAUUUCCUUCAUUUUGACCAGGUUUUGACUAACUAAGCAUCUGAAUUUCUUUGGGAGAGGAGAUGAUCUUCUAGCAAGAUUUAGACAGCAGCAUAUUGUUUUAAAUAAGCAUUGUAUAUAGUACAUAUGAUAAAAUACUGUUUGCUUAGAUUGCAGAUGGAAUUUGAUGCAUGUUCUAUCUUUUCUUAAAAAUUCGUAGUAUACUUGCAUUAUCACUUUCCUUGCUGGUGAAACGUACCUUUUCUGUUCUUAAUGAAUAGCUACCAAUUCGUAAUUUGCGCAAGCUUGCUGAUUUCCUUGUUUGGAAGUUCUUUGGUCAACUAGAUAUGAGUUCUAGGCCAGUUCUUCGCAUUUUCACUGACGACCACAACAAAAUUGGUGAAUUAUAGUUUUCCUAGUUGCAUCAUGUAAUUUGUGCAGUUCAAUAGAAUGAUCUAAACUGUUCAUUGAGUUUAGAACACGUUUCAAGGGGUACCAUGUAAAAAUAAGACUGACUGGAUGAUACUAAUCCACCUAGAUUCAAUUUUUUUCAGCUUAUGAAGGCCUCUCUAAACCAGCCCUUUGCAUUGCAGAUAUUGUCUAUUUGUUUCAAAAUAUCUUUUUAAACAGUAGUUUCUCUUAUUCUCUUCUCCAUUUCCUUUUGCUCUUGAUUUGCAGCCUUGUCUUUCCGAAUGGUAAGAUUCCUCCAAUCCUUAAUUUGCUAGAUAUUUCCUUGUUGAGAAAUUGUGAUUCUUUUAUAUCCGACUUAUUUUAGUAUCCGUAUUAGUUUUUUUUUUCAUGUUUCUGCAGUUGAAAUAUAAUUCAUGUUUAUUUUUUUGAUGUCCUUUAUUUUUUUAACGUUCUUGUUUGACUUUUCCUUGUAUACUUGUGUUGUCCAAGAAAGAAAUAGAUUUUGUAUCAUUUAUGGUUUGCUCUAACCUGAACUGAAUUUAUUUUUUUUUCCACAUGAAAUUGAAAGUCCUGGAUAGGGAUCCUGCAGAAUUUGGAUUAAGCUCUAAUCUCGAUUUUGAUGACCCAAUCCGUUGGACCAAGCCCUACUCUUCUCUUUCUCUCGUGCACUUAUACCUUAUUUGUUUGGACAAGUCAUGCGUCCUUUCACAGAAAAAUCGUGCAACAUUAUAAGGAUUUUCCUUUUCUCAGGGGCUAUGGGUACAUCUCACUUGAGAAUGUAUUAUUUUUUGCCAGGACUUAUCAGGUAAGCCAGACCAGAUUUAUUCCUUCGUCUUUGUAAUUGAUUUCUCACUAGUAUGUUACUUUUGUCAUCAUGUUAUUUUAUUUUAAGCUGACUUUGCUGUCAGAUUUUUGCAUUGUUGAUUUAUUACUAAUUUUAUGCAAACUCAAAAUAAGCUUCUUUUGAAAGGUUAUUGUUCAAACUUGAAGGGAAGCGAGCCAUGUGGGAAUACCCAUUUGCUGUUGCGGGCAUCAAUGUUUCAUUUAUGCUUAUUCUAAGGAGAGUUGCAUCAAGUAAGAGAGAAUCACGAUCUCCAACUAGCACAGGUGCAGACCUUAAAGCCCCACUUGGUCUAGAACGAGCUCCCCUCGGGUCAGGAGUGCAUCGAGCAUAUCCAAAAACCAGGUGAGUCAACUAACAACAGUCCCCCAUAUUUAGGUACAUAAAAGGCCAUCACAUUGUGGAGGUCUUCAUCUGCUUGACGGACUUUCAUUGAAUUGCCUUUUUAUUUUGAAGUCUUCCAUUGCAGAUUUUAAUUUUUAUUGUCAGGUUUGUAAGUCAGAUAAAUAAUGUUUCAAAUUACAUCAUGGUUGUUUUUACUAUCUUUUGAUUCUUAAAUGAAUAUGGCUUAAAUAUAAUUUUUUCUUUAUUUUAUUUUA